UACGUAGGGGGCAAGCGUUGUCCGGAAUUAUUGGGCGUAAAGAGCGCGUAGGCGGUCCGAUAAGUCGGCUGUGAAAGUCAGGGGCUCAACCCUUGGAAGCCGGCCGAUACUGUCGGACUAGAGUCCGGAAGAGGAGAGUGGAAUUCCUGGUGUAGCGGUGAAAUGCGCAGAUAUCAGGAAGAACACCCGUGGCGAAGGCGGCUCUCUGGGACGUGACUGACGCUGAGACGCGAAAGCGUGGGGAGCGAACAGG
rnacentral:rRNA from 1 species